rnacentral:rRNA from 1 species
UGUGUAGGCGGUUGCUUAAGUUUGGUGUGAAAUCUCCCGGCUCAACUGGGAGGGUGCGCCGAAUACUGAGUGACUAGAGUGCGGGAGAGGAGAGUGGAAUUCCUGGUGUAGCGGUGAAAUGCGUAGAUAUCAGGAGGAACACCGGUGGUGUAGACGGCUCUCUGGACCGUAACUGACGCUGAGACACGAAAGCGUGGGUAGCAAACAGGAUUAGAUACCCUGGUAGUCCACGCCCUAAACGAUGCAUAUUUGGUGUGGGCAGUUCAGUCUGUCCGUGCCGGAGCUAACGCGUUAAAUAUGCCCGCCUGGGGAGUACAGUCGCAAGGCUGAA